CAAUCAACAAGGAACAUACCCAGGGGUAACGAGGGAAGAGGAUCUCCUUCUCCUCCAUCUCAGAAUGGGCCUGUCCGUUCUCCUCCAGCGGCUCCCCGGCAGAGCCCACGGUGCGGAGCUCAGCAGAUGUUUAUUGCGGUACUGGAGCCUGUCACAGGCACUUAGGGCGAUUUCUUGAUCUGCCCCUGUACGGUGGAGCUGCGGGCACACGGCACGCCGAGCCGCACUUCACUAAACGUUUUGCCGCUCUGCGAAUCUGAGUCUGCGGUUUAGGGACUGCAGCGAAGCCUGUGCACUUUGCUGUCAGGCGGCCGUUUCCCCGGAGUCGUCACCGCGCCGCUGAACAGCGUGCCGGUGGUGCCAAAGCCAGCCGGAUCCUGUUCCAGCCAACGAGUCGGCCCCCGUAUCGAUCCGGCCGUGCUGUUAGCUGCUUGCAGGCCUGCCUGCUUUCCUUGUCUCGCUCUGCAGACCCCAGCAUCGGCACCCACCCAUGGACACCCACGCUGGCCUUGUUGUAUUUGUGGACCGCGGGAGGAAGACAACCCGCGUAAACACAGGGAUAAGCGAAAUCUGCCAUCCCAGAGUCUGCAGCGACAGGUUUUCCCCUUCAUAAGAUUAACAUCAAGUCCUUGAAGAUUGGCCACGUAAGGAUAUCCUGAGUUCCCAGGCCAGUUUUCGGAGGCGGUCAGGAUGCCCUAUCGCAGUAGCGACCUGACGCCCAGAAGCGUCCUACCUACACGAACGUUCAGUUUAAAGGAAUGCUUUUCGUAGGUGGGCUGACCCACCAUCUGUUUACUAAAACAGAGACUCACAGAGACAGUGAAAUCAGUCAAGGUUACUGUCUGAAAUCAGGAGAGACGUAUUAUUACACUGAGAGAGGGAUGACUAGACUGUGGCUUGUUCAGCUUUUUGA